rnacentral:rRNA from 1 species
UACGAGGGGGGGCAAGCGUUGUUCGGAAUUACUGGGCGUAAAGCGCGCGUAGGCGGCUUUUGUAAGUUAGAGGUGAAAGCCCGGGGCUCAACUCCGGAACUGCCUUUAAGACUGCAUCGCUUGAAUCCGGGAGAGGUGAGUGGAAUUCCGAGUGUAGAGGUGAAAUUCGUAGAUAUUCGGAAGAACACCAGUGGCGAAGGCGGCUCACUGGACCGGUAUUGACGCUGAGGUGCGAAAGCGUGGGGAGCAAACAGG